rnacentral:rRNA from 1 species
UAGCGUAUAUUAAAGUUGUUGCGGUUAAAAAGCUCGUAGUUGGAUUUCUGCUGAGAGCAGCCGGUCCACCUUUUGGGUGAGUAUCUGGAUUGGUCUUGGCAUCCUCUCGGAAAACGAUUCUGCGCUUCAUUGCGUGGUUCGGGGUUCGAGACUUUUACUUUGAGGAAAUUAGAGUGUUCACGGCAGGCAUACGCCUUGAAUAUAUUAGCAUGGAAUAAUACUAUAGGAUUUCGGUUCUAUUUUGUUGGUUUCUAGAGCUGAAAUAAUGAUUAAUAGGGACAAUUGGGGGCAUUCGUAUUGACGAGUC